GGUCACUCAGCUAGUAAGUGAUGGUGCCAUGAUUCAUUCACACCCAAGUUAGUUUGGCUCCAGAGUUCAUUCUCUCAAAUAUAACUCUAUAUCCUCACCAAGAAAGGCAUUUUAUCUGAGCUGGAGCUAAACCAACAACCAGAGGAUGCCUAUGGAAUAUAUUCUGUGGUCCUCUAUUUGUCCAGGUGGACUACUCUCCCCACCCCCUCCUCCUUUUGUACUCCUGAGGAUUGAAUCCAGGGGAACUCUACCACUGAGCUAAAUCCUCAGGUGUUUAAGUUUUUCUUUUUGAGAUAGGGUCUCACUAAGUUGCCCAGGCUAGUCUUGAACUAAGUUGCCAUCCUAUUGCCUCGACCUUUCAAGUAGCUGGCAUUACAAGUGUGCACCACUAUGCCUGGCCAGGUAGACUGUUCUUAAUUAGAGGAAUUAAGACUGGAACAUGUGAAGCAAUACAAUAUCAUCCUCAGAAAUAUAUGAUGACAAUAGAAUAUCUCAAGUCUUUCCCAUGACCUCUCAACACUUCUUUAAAAAAAUAGAGGGAGUCUUUCCAUUUUUCUACAUUAUUCUAGGAUCAAGAGGGUCAAAUAUAUUUUAGAGGUAUAUAACCUCUAAAAUAAUUCCAUUACUUCUUCAAUUAUAGAUCAUUUUUAUUUUGGCUUACAUUUAUGAACCAAAGAAAGUACUGAAUUCUGUAGGCAAAUACGACACAGUUGUCUAUAUUCUAAAGGAUACGGAAAAUGUCUGGGUCAUAUUAUUUUUCUCAGGGCAAGUAGUUAUAGACCUAUUCCAAUUCUGGGCCUUAUGUUGGCCAGUAUUCUUCUGCUUUUGAGUAUCAUACCACAUAAUUUUCAAAGGAAAGGAAGAGUUCUGUUUCCCCAGAGGUAAGCAGAAGCUGUUCUCUGGCAUUAUCUUACUGUUCGCUUCACAUUUGCUAGCAUCUCAUUCCUGGGUUGGUUUCUGCCACCUCUACUCCUAGCUUUUCUUGCCCAAUUGAUAUUUAUUCUUUGAGUUUUUCUGCACAAUUUGAUUCCUGAUCAUCUCAGCUCCAUUCUAGAACAACCAGGGGCAGAACUGCCUUUGAGUCCCAGCUGUACUGCUUAUUGGUCAUAUGGUCUAAGUCAAAUCACUUUAUCUUUCUGAGCCUGUUGUUUCCUUGUGGAAUAAGAAAAAAAUAAUAGCACAUACCUUAUAAAAUUCAACUCGAUGUCCUCACAUACAUGAAGCAUUCAACCCACAGUCAGGCAUAUAGAAAGUAUGUAGUAAAUAACAAUAUAAUAACUUUCUUCUUCCUCCUCCUCCUUUUCUUCCUCCUCCUCCUCCUCCCCUCCUCCUCCUUUUCUUCCUCCUCCUUCUCCUCCUCCUCCUCCUCCUCUUCCUUCUUCUUCAAAUGCAAAUUUGAUCAUCUUAUUCUCUGGUUUAUGUAUCUUCAUGGGCUUCCAGUUGUCUCCAUAUCAAAUCCAGUCUUCUUAACUUUCCCCCAGCGACUGUGGCAGUCUUUUCUUCUAUAUGCUCUCUUUAAUGUUCCUUCAGUUCUCUAUCUCAUAUCCUUAAUGCUCCAACCCAUCUGCCAUGGUUC
rnacentral:lncRNA from 1 species